rnacentral:lncRNA from 1 species
CUGAAGCUUGAUUGAACUCUUCUUGACAUCUUCUAGAGCUUGCCCUAUUAUUGUACAAGCUCCAUCUUCUCUUCAGUUCAACACUCCCCCUCAAGCUUGACUUUAGGAGAUCCUAAGCCAAGCUUGGAACUCUGAAGAGUCUCCCUCAUUAAAAACCUUACAAGGAAAACCCAUUGGGACAAAACCUUGCAAGGGAAAAAGAGUAGAGCUCUCCAAAGCCUAGGGAUUGGCCAGUGAGCUCUUGUGCCUUAGAACCAAUGUGGUUGGACACAAGAAGCUCUGGAUCACGGCCUA